rnacentral:rRNA from 1 species
GUGCCAGCAGCCGCGGUAAUUCCAGCUCCAAUAGCGUAUAUUAAAGUUGUUGUGGUUAAAAAGCUCGUAGUUGAACCUUGGGCCUGGCUGGCCGGUCCGCCUCACCGCGUGCACUGGUCCGGCCGGGCCUUUCCCUCUGUGGAACCCCAUACCCUUCACUGGGCGUGGCGGGGAAACAGGACAUUUACUUUGAAAAAAUUAGAGUGCUCCAGGCAGGCCUAUGCUCGAAUACAUUAGCAUGGAAUAAUAAAAUAGGACGCGCGGUUCUAUUUUGUUGGUUUAUAGGACCGCCGUAAUGAUUAAUAGGGACAGUCGGGGGCAUCAGUAUUCAACUGUCAGAGGUGGAAUUCUUGGAUCAGUUGAAGACUAACUACUGCGAAAGCAUUUGCCAAGGAUGUUUUCAUUAAUCAGGAACGAAAGUUAGGGGAUCGAAGACGAUCAGAUACCGUCGUAGUCUUAACCAUAAACUAUGCCGACUAGGGAUCGGACGGUGUUAUUCAUGACCCGUUCGGCACCUUACGAGAAAUCAAAGUGCUUGGGCUCCAGGGGGAGUAUGGUCGCAAGGCUGAAACUUAAAGAAAUUGACGGAAGGGCACCACCAGGGGUGGAGCCUGCGGCUUAAUUUGACUCAACACGGGGAAACUCACUCAGGUCCAGACACAAUAAGGAUUGACAGAUUGAGAGCUCUUUUCUUGAUUUUGUGGGUGGUGGUGCAUGGCCGUUCUUAGUUGGUGGGGUGACUUGUCUGCUUAAUUGCGAUAACGAACGAGACCUUUAA